CACUGGCCUGUUGCCUCAGCUAAGCAAAAAGAAAAGCAUAUGGUCAUCCUCACUCAUCUUGGCUUACCAGCUCUCAGCAGCACAUGAACAUCAAGUGGGCGCUCACCUCAGCUUCAGCACCUACAGGUGAUCAGGAAGUUGUUUUUCUCAGACUUUAAUUCCUCACUAUGUACUGUGUGCCACCUGAUUUGCCUACUGUUUCAGGAAAAAAGCUGCACAAUUUAAGUGGUUAUAUCGUCUUCCAGUACCUGAAGGGAGCUUACAAGCAGGAGAUCCAUUAGUGACAGAACAAGUGGUAAUGGCUUUAAACUGAAAGAGGGGGCAUUUAGGUUAGAUGUUAGGAAGAAAUUCUCCACUCAGAGGGCAGUGAGGCUCUGGCACAGCUGCCCAGAGAAGCUGUGGUGCCCCAUCCCUGGAGGCAUUCAGGGCCAGGUUGGAUGCGGCCCUGGGUAGCCUGAGCUGGUAGGGGGCAGCCCUGCCCAUGGCAGGGGGUUGGAACUGAGUGGACUUUGAUGUCCCUUUUUUGUAGACUUUAACAAAACCAUAACAUAUGCCUGUGAACUUCUGAGUUUCUCAUUGGAAUUGAGUGACCUUCUGUUACCACUCUUCCACUUCAACAGUCACAAAUUUUUUGCACUUUAUUUCUUUUCAAAUUGAUUCCUGCUCUUGUAUGUCUCUUAGGAGUCCCUUGAUCCCUGUGUAAUCCAGCUGAUGGUCCACUUCAAGAAGUUUAAUCACUGGUAACCUCCUUCCAGCACUGCCAACUCAGACAGCUGCAGGUCUUCCACUGACCCCCUCUCUUCUCAGCUGCUGUUACCUGGGUAUCAUCUCCAAUGCCUGCACUUAGUUAGGCUGGUGCCCACUCCAACUCUUGUCACUGACAUCGCACCACUCAGGCUGCUGCCUCUAACCCCAGUGCUCUGAUUUGAAACAAUCUCAAUUUGAGCCUUUCUGCUGAGGGGAAAAAAAAAGUAGCAGGAGUUAAAUCCCCUUGUUUUCCUAGUCUGUACAUGUGCAACAUCAUCCCCCUGCCUGCCUUCAGCAACGUUCCUCACCACCUUUGGCAUAUCCCCAAGCUCUUCUCCAGAGAGCUUUCCACAGCACAAAGAUGUCAAUAGUACAAAUAAUUAAUGUCAAGUGGCUGUCAAUAACUUCUAGGUCUAAAAACAUAACAAAUGUAAACCCUUGUUAAUUAAUUGCAUCCUACCCUGAAAAGUAAACAGUGAGCAAAUGAGGACGGAUGUUAUGGUGGUAAUGACCAGUGAUCAUUAUUUCCAGAGAAACACUGAGAGGAACAGCAACUUUGGCACCUGUUAAGUCCUUAUGGAGUUUCUUUAUCUCCCAUCAUCUUCUGCAUUUUAAUUUUUUUAGCUACAGAAAAUAGAAGUGUACAAACAUGAUAUUAAAAAAGAAAAAAAUAUAUUUAUUUUAAAUAUGAAUUACAUAGGAAACUACAUAGAAAUGCAGCAAAUGAGAAAUUCUGAAUUUCAACUUGUGUUUGUAAAUGGGAUGCUGGAGAAGAGAGCAACAAGUUUAAAUGCAAAAGCUUUAGAAGCACUUUGGUUUUGACACCUAAAAUAAUCUCCCAAGAAUGAGCAAGGAAGAGGCAAAGAGGUGAUCUGUCUAAUGUAUUAUUAUUACCUUUGGAAUAAUACCAGCCUGUCUAUUUUCUCCCAUUUGUACACGCAAUCUGACCCAAAGCCAGUCGUGGCCUCUCUUUCCCCCCAGUUUCCUGUCUGCUACACUAAGAACUGGGUGAGAGUGCAGUGAAAACAAGAUCUUCCUUGAGGGCUGACUUUCAGAGCACAGGUGACCAUGACCAUCAGUGUCCUGAUGUAAUGAAUAGGGCUUUGUGAGAGAAGGGACCAGCAACCACCUCCAGUUUUCCCACACACAUUCCUAGUGUUCUACCCUUGAACUUUGUCUUCUGCAGUAGGAAGGCUUCCAAGUAGAAGACUUCCAAGAAUGACAUUUUCAUGGCUAGUGCCACCGUGGGAGGAUGAUAUCUGAAGUUCUUUUAGUCUGGAAUAGGAAAAAAAGUGAAAAGGGAAAAAAAAAUCUGUGAGUCGUUGAGCCUAUUAGGUACCACUGAACUGAAAUCAGCUUUGUUGCAAUAAAAAUAAACAAAGUUCUCCAAAGCGAGCUUCUUAAUGCUGGUAGUGCUGGAUAUUCUUCUGUCUGCACAGCACAAUUUGUGGGACACGACGAUUUCUCUCAAAUUACUCUGUGGAGUCUCUUUGGAUGCUUAGAAGAAUGGGUCUCCUAGCUCUGGUGGAGUAGCAGGGUUAUUAAAACAUGGUGAGCUGUACUGAUUUCUGCAAUUAAUCAUGACUGAUUUAUCACUUGAUUGUAGAAAUGCAGCCUAAAUAGAUUUUUUCCAUCUCCCUUGCUCCCUAAUUGAUUUUUUUUUUUUUUUUGGAACACUGAAGCUUUGACUUCCUCUCAUAAAAUAGAUUAGAGUCAUUAAGACUGUGAGCUGUAUAAUCAUUCUGCUGCAUAAUUACUGUUACUACUGUUGUCUUCUGGUUUACAGUGUUUCUUUAUUAGCAGCUCCUAUUGCCAGAAGGUUUAAGCAUUUAAUAAUCUGUCAAGGUGGUCUUUUGCUUGUUUUUUUUUUUUUUUUUUCUUUUUAACUUGAAGACCUUUUUGGCAAUAUCUUUAAACACCUGGCCAGGUCAGGUACUUUAAUACUCACUUAUCUCUGUCUAGUUGGCCUCACAUUGCUUUUUUAAUUAGUCGUCUUCUGGAUAGCCAGUUACUCAUUCAUCAUAUAUGAAAUGUAAGCAAGUCACAUGCAACAAUAACAAGCAGUUGGAAAUCAGAGCUUCCAGACAUGUUAUUGAGAUUGAUGGCCAUAGAGGGCACAUCAAGCAAGCUUUUAUCAGUUAGCAUAAGCAAAAGAGCCUGACCUAGCAUUCAUAGUAAAUGCAGGCUGCAGUGGUUUCCACAACACAGAGGAUUUAUACUUCCUGAGGAGUCCUGCUAGGCCUUGUCUCAGUGCUGAUGUGUCCAUCGGACUCUGGCCAUCCCAGAAGGGUGGGGAUGCUGAUUUAUGGUGUUUUGCUGCAGUGGUGGACAUUGGUCUGCUCUGGGGUCCAAGCUGCAAGGUGCAGCAGUGCCCAACAUGAGAGGAGCACUGAGCCAGGCAGCCCUGUCUCCCACCAGGACAAGGCUCUGAACAUCCUGCCGAAGCGGCUACUAACGCAAAGCACCUGCUGCAGCCACAGGUGCGGGUUAGCUCUUAGCCUGCAAGAGAAUCAGAGCCUGGAGAGCAUUGGGAAGCACUGGGAGAAAUGAGCAGUUCACACCAGAUUUUUGAAACUAGAGAUGUGGCUGUCCAUCAGCAGGUACAGGGUUGAGGCAGUGAGCAAGAGAUCAAUUCUCCCUGUCCUUGCGCAAGAGGACAAAACGUAAUGGAAUUCCCUAUGUUACAAGUGAGAAGAAAUUUCUCAGUGCUAGAAGAUAGGGAAGCCUUGGAACAGAUGGCCUGGGGAUCUGGUGGCAUUUCAGCUGCUGGCAAUCACUGCAGAGGGAGAGAGAGUCAAGUCUGUCAAAAAUGACAUAGAUAUAAUAGAGCCUCCCUCUUGGCAAGGCAGCGGGUCAGGUCGCCUCUUAAUUCUCUUUCCUGGCUGGCUCACUCUGUGUGUGCAACUGCAAACCAGAGGGAACAGAAAUGCUGUGAUUUGCAUGGACUGGUCCUCCCAGAAGCUGAAAACAAAAAUGCAGAGCAGUUUUUGAUGGACACAAAAAGAAUGAAAUCCUAAUGAGGGUAGUGAAGAAUUAUAACUGCAAAGAAUGAAGAGACAAAGAUUAAAAGUGGAAAAGAAUAUACAUAUUUUUAAAUAAAAUCUUCUGGACUACUGACAUCUUUGUAAUUAUGUGUUGGGACAGUGUUUCCUAUUAUUUUAGAAUUUCUUCAGUCAUUUGGGGACAAGAGCAAAGCCAAACAAGGGAGCAGGUAAGCGCGUAGAGGAGAUAUCUUCAGCUGUUACCCAUCAUUUCUGGAUGUGGGUGAGGAGUUAGGCAAGUUAAAGUCAAGAAUUAUUCUCAGGUGUUGGAUAAAGAGAAGAGUCCCAACUCUAUUAAUGUCUUCUCUGGUCCCAUCUAUGGCUUUACUUUGCAAAACUCUUUCUGUUCUGGAUUUGGGACCCCAACAACUGCAGGCUCCUGUAGGCCUUCUCAUCCCUGCGCUGUUCAGUGACCUACACUGAAGACAGCAGGAAGAUGGUGAUGCCCCUACAAUUAAUUGCCAGAAUAUGUGGAAAAAGAAGCAAAGAUGAUGUGGAGUCUGAAGGUCACUGCAGGGAGGAUGUGCUGAGUCUUACUGUGAACAUUAAAGGAAAAUCUAAACCUGCUCAGGAAUUAUGGGCUCUUGAACUCUGACUGACCUCCUCCAGUAGAUUUGCUUUUAGAGAAUAUUGUUUGAUUAGUGAUAUUAGGUUCUGAAUGCUCUGUAGCUCAUCUGAGUGGAUUGACAAGUAAGGGAAUAGAUUGCUCUGUGAAAAAUAAUAAUAGUAAUAAUCCAAAGAUGAUUUUCUAAGUGUUGAAAAUCCCAUGCAAAAACCUUUUCUCAUAGGCAGAUCCUAUUCACUUAAGUGAAACAAUAACUUGGUUUCAGAGGAAAAAAAAAGUAUAUGAAAACAAUUGUCCCUUUUUCAAGAUAGUCUUGCAGCAAGCCUGAGGUUAACAGUAUGUGUUCGAUUCAUCGUAAUUACUAGAAAUGUUUCAUCCAUUCAGAAGCCUUGGCAAUACCCCCAGGACUGCUAAGCUUUAAUAUAAGCUGUUUUUCUCUUUUAUCUCUGUUUUUUCUCUCACAUGAUUUCCCCUUUUCUUUACUCUAGGUGUCGAGCUUUUGUUGAUUUUUUUCACUUGGAAAGGUAACAGUAAAGUGAUGGUGUUUCACAUCUUUUAUCUGAAUUUCUAGAGUCCAAUUCUUACAAAGAAACUAUUUCUUGAUAAAAUUAUUUCACAGGUUUUCUAGUGAAUGAGUUUGAUCAAUCAGUAGUUCCCGUUUGAUAGAGUAUACAAAUGAUGUUGUGGUACAUGAUAAUCUUCGGGUUUUCCCACUACCUAGCAGAACGCUGGUACCGAGGUGGGAGUGUGGAAAUAGAAAAACUGACAGGCCAGACAAAUGAACAAUUAAGUUUGUGUACCGAGGUCUGUGGCAACGUAAUAGAAUGAGGUGGAAUACGUGCCCGGAAUAUCAAAAUUUUACAUGCUAGUUUAAAGUGUCCCAGGAGAGCUGUGGGGAUAGAUACUGCAUGGAAAGUGAGCAGUGUUCUCAUUACAGCAGAUUAUGUUACUUAUCAGUAGCCUGAAUAUGGGAAAAUAAGACUGGAACUGUUUGAAAAUAAGUGAAUAUGCAUAUUUUUCUAAACCAAAAUACUGCUUAUUUGCAGGGUGUAUAUUUUGAAGUAAUGACUGGUCAAAGAGGAGUAUCAGUGCAUUUCAAGGAGCAAAGUGUGAGAGAUUUUCAGCUUGAUCUCAGAAAAUUGAUGUAGUCCACAUUGCAUACUGCACUGCACCUCCAGUUUGGACAGGAGAGGAGCUGUGUUAGCAAAUGCUCAACCAAAUGUAAAAACAUUGCUAAAGUAAUGGACUCCAACAAAGAUCCAAUUUCACUUUAGGGGAGAAAAUUGAUCUUCAGAAAAGCGAUUGGAGCUGCAGGUUUCCUGCUGUGGGAGAACCCAGGCUACCUGGGAUGUGUUCAGACCACAACAACUCCGUGUCCUUCUUGUGCUGGGGGCCCCAGAACUGGAUGCAGUAGUCCACGUGGGAUCUCACGAGAGGAGAAUAGAGGGGCAGAAUCACCUCCCUCAACCUCCUGGUCACGUUUCUCUUGAUGCAAUACAGGAUAUGGUUGUCCUUCUGAGCUGCAAGCACACGCUGCUGGAUCAUGCUGAAUCUUUCAUCAAGUGACAUUCCCAGAUCCUUCUCCUCAGGGCUUCUCUCAAGCCAUUCUCUGCCCAACCUCUGUCUGUGCUUGGGAUUGCCCCAACCUGGGUCAAUUUCAAACGUCAAGUCAAUUUCAAAGAUGAAGUUUUACCAUUGUCUUACUAUUUGCUAGCAAGAGUGUAUUUGUUUUUUUAGCAGUAGCUUCAGUUCACUCAGUGACUGCUCUGAGCCAUCAGUGGCAUCAGGCAUGCCUCUCUCAAGCAUGAAAACAGCCUCUUGGAACACAUGAAAUGUGAGGCCGUUUCCUUGUGAGUUAGAAAUAGCAGUAAGAGGAGGCAUCUUUGUUCUGUUGUGCUUUACUUCUUGUUUGAGAUUUUCGAGGGUUUUGUUUGUUUGUUGUUUUCCUAAUUCUGUUUUACUUCUCCUUGUCGCAUUAGUGUUCUUUGAGGUUGGUUAGGUGUUUUUUGUUUUGGUUUGGUUUGGUUUGGUUUUUUUUGCUGUUUUGUUUUGUUUUCCAACCACAAUGCUGAGGAGAAUCAUUCAGCCUCCAGCUAUUUUUUAUGAAAACUUCUGAAGAAGACAUCUAGCAUGUGUCCCUUAACUGCUCUUGUUCAUUGCUGGCAAAUGCAUAGCUAAUGGUGGUGAUUACAUUGAAAAUCAGUGUUCUGUAGCUGAGAAUUUGCUCUAUGAAAUAGUUUUAUUACUCUCUUUGUAUCUGUUGUCAUUUCCAUGGAAAUAAAUAGGAGGCAUUACUUUCAGAGUGACCUGCAUAUGUGAAUGGAGAAUAGAUACAUUUUCACUAAAUAUUCCAAAGCCAUCUCUGUGCAAUACCCCUGAUGUCUGUGCUGUCUUGAAAAGGUUGACCUUGUUGAUAUUCAAGAAGAUGAGUGUUAAAUGGCUUCAGUGUGAGGUUCUGUUGAAAUGAUAGAGAGAGUAGAUACCACUUCUCCAGAAAUUAUUAGACUGCAUCUGUUAAACAACAGAAGAAUUUGGCAAAAUAGAGCAUGUAAGCUGAGAAUAAGGGAACUUAGGUUUGUCAGCUGUAAUUAUGUUUAUGGAAGUUUCUUGUACUGUAUGUUCAUAGCUUCUUACACUCUGUACCAGAAGUCAUCAGUACCCAAUUGCGUAUCUGGCUCUUGCUGUCUUGUGAAAGACAUUCCCUUUUUGUGGAGACCUAUAGACCCUCUUCUUCCUAAGGAAUGGUUGCAUGUCCUAUUUUGGCAACCGCAUGAAAGGAGAGAUGUUGAAAUAAAACAUAAUUAGUAAUGAUUCUCCAGUAUCACCUGAUUACACCAGUAAUAAAAAUGUAUUUGGGUAAAAUUAGUAAAUUAAUGCAGAUUGAAAUAAUUGUCAGUAUAAAUGAUUUGGUUUGAGCUUUGCUAAACAAAUUGUGUGUUUUAACAGACAAACACUUAUGGUUUAGUGCAAAAAGGAUUUUAAAAGUCAUUUUCCAUGCAUAGUCCCUAUAUAUCAGGGAGGAGAAAUAAGGGAAAAGACUCUUCAAGGCACCAAAUAUUUUUGUAUACAAAAGUAGAUUUCAUCUCAUAAAAUAAUUUUUGAAGAGAAAAACACUCCUCCCUCUUGCCCUGACCUCAGAUGGAAAGGAGAAGAGGCACCUAUUGUGGUACAAUGUUGCUUGGGAAAACAUUGUGGCUGUCUGUUUUGAAGGAAAUGAAAAACCAUUAAAAGGAUAAUAGAAUAAAAGUGCAAUGAGAUGUUCGAAGGAUCCAUCAAUAAAAGGAUGGCAAGCAAUCGCUAAAGACAGCCCUUUCUAAAUGUAGUUUUAUUGCCAGAGGAUGGAAAAUUGAGAGAGAAUUUGCGAACAAUUGAAUUUAUGGUAAUGGCAUAUAAGCAUAUUGUACCACCAAAGCAAAGCACAGAGAGAGUAUAAAACACAAAAUACACCUAUGUCCCAUGGAAACGCUCGUGUUCUGCCUAUUAUCUCCUGGUAUUGCAAAAUGUAAUAUCCAGAUAUUAAAAUCAAAUAUAUUGUGAAAUGCAUUAGCAGUCGUUGACACGGAUGACAUUCUGCUCUGUGCCUGCUUUAAGGUGAAUUGCUGGACCAAAAGUAAUGCCAGAGGUGAGUGCAAAGGAGCUUGCUCCUGUGUGCUCAGGGCAACGUUGUUUCUUGGCUUCGGUGACAUCUGGGCAUCCCUGUGCUGGCUUAUGGGCAAAUCACCUGGGGAUAAUUUGAGUCAAUUUGGAUUUUAAGCCUUUUUAAAAUGCGCUGUUGCUCGGUCUGUACAGCCGGCAGAGGUGGCUGCUAAACAACAGGCAGGAAGAAAAUAAUUAACUGAUGGGCUGGGAGAUGGAGCCUGCCAGUAACCAGAUAAACCGGAAAGGAGAAGAACAACUUCUGCCACAGGACAGGCACAAAUAUCUGCUCUGUACGAAGCCACAGAGAAAGGCUGAUAGCGUGAAAAACCUGUGGCUGAAAAACCACAGGCGUCAGGGAACUAACUGUAUGCUUACAGUCAGCCUGCACUCGACCAGAAGGGCAGCCUUCAGGGAGGGAUGGGGAAGGCUUUCCUGUAAGACGCUUCGAUUUUCUUGCAUCUGUGGAGAAACUGCUGGCCUGCUUUCAAAGAGGAUAUCUGUGGGUGGUUUGGGUUUAGUUUUUACACCAUCUCCCUGCUUCACGGUACCAGCAGCCUGCUGUAGCACUGUGCCUCCCCUAGGGGCUGCAGGGUGGUGAGGUGUUGUUUCUGAUGCCCCAUCCCCACUGCUGCCCUCUCCCAUUGCUCUCGCUGCAGUGCUGCUGCCUGCAACAGGGGGACAACACAGCUGCAAAAACAAUUGGGGAUUACUUUCUAGUGUUGUUUAGCUUUUUAAAGUGUAGUCCUUCCUACCACCAAGGAGAGCCUGCAAGCAAGUACUGGUGGGAUUAGAGAGCAUUGGGUUCUAGUGUUGGGUUCGAGUGUAGGCAGACAUGAGGUUAGAGAGUGUUGGCAGAUCUCGGAAUGUACCACCAACACACAGAAAUGGCAGAGCCAGCUUAUGACCCUGCUAAGACAAGUGGACAAGCCACCGACAGUUAAAAUACCACUAAGCCAAGACUCUGUUUUAAAGAUAAAGACUUCAGUGUUAACUUCUUUGUCAGCAGCACAGCAUUGUCUCUUUCCCUAAAAAUCUAAUUAGCAUGUAUCACAGUGUUGUUAUUAUUAAUGACUCUACCCCUCCUGAAAUAUAACAUUUCUGAUUUACAAUGUUUUGUUUGUUUCGCAUUGUUUCACCUGAAAUACGGUGACUGCUAAAUCUCUGGUAAGCCCUUAAAUGAGGGAGGAACAGCAAAAUGAGCUCUGCCGAAGGAUUUUAACCUAUCAUUCCAAGAGCAUAGUUAUCUUGGCAGCAAACAAGGAUUUAAGUACCUUUGAGAAAUUUGACUUUAAUUGUGGAGGAAUGGCAUCAUCAGCUGCAAAAAGUUAAACCCCUCAAAAGCACUCUACUUUUUCAUUAGCAACUAUUUAGGUGAUAAUUAGCAGGAGGAGGACUGGAGGGAUGUCAAAGCAUGUGCAGAAUCACCUGGCCUUGGGAGGGUCAUAGGGCCUUUCAGAGAGUUCAUUUUGAGUUCCUGGAGGUCUACAGCAUGGAAACGUGAUGCUGUGGGCAGUCUGUAGCUUAGCUGAGAGGAGAAAAGUUAAAACCUGGCUCUGAAGAUAAAGCUGGGGAGCAAUUUGUGAGUAUAUUAAGAGCUAGAAUGGAAGUUGGUCGUGUCCUUUCACAGGGCAUGAUUCUUGGGGUUAUGUUAUUUCCCUCGCUAUCACAGUAGGCAUCCUAAGAGUUUGAUGUGCUGUUGUCUCAUGAGCAGCCCUGUAAGUGUAACAUAAAGCAUGGGGAGCUGGAGGAGGUAUUUUGAUAUUAGUUCAAGAUCUGCACCCUCUUUUCCCACACAACCAGAGCUCUUGUGAUAAAAGAUGUAUACAUACAGAAACAACAAUUAUUUUCUAGAUAAUUUCUUAUAAUAUGAAAAAAUGUGGAUAGUACUGACUACAUGUUCUGCAAGGAGCUAUGGUGGAAACCAUCAUGGAUUAAAUGCUCCCAUCUGUGGUACCUAGCUACUUGUGAAUGUUUCAGACCUUGUUUGUUAGGAAGCUGGACUUUCCAAGCACUGAUAUGCAUCCGUGGCUGCUGCUUUCUCCUCAGGAGCUGCCCCUCCCACUGGUCACUACAGCAUGGUGGUGGUUUGAUGUGUCCUUCCAAGGCUGGCCACUGUCAAUCACCAGCUUUGUGAUAAUGAGCGCUCAGCUGGCUGUCCUUGUUCUUCCCACCUCCUCCCAUUCUCCAGUCAGAAAUCCUGAUUUACUAAGCUGUCUUCAAGCACAAAUCUGAUUCAGUACUGUAUUUGUCAAUCCCAACUCCCUUCAUUCAAGCAGAAUGGCUGAAAAGCAGCAAACACAACUCUGCACCUGAUAGGGUCCAGCACUGUGGAAAUCAGUAUCUGAAGACUGGAGUCAGGCUCUCCUUCUAUACAAUUUAAAUAAGUUCUUUACAGAGGGAACUAUGCAUUUCCUUGUCAAUCACUGCCUUCUGCCAAGUACUCAGCUUUCAUUCUCUUCACCAUUAGCCCUGUCUUCAAUUUAUUCUGUAUAAAUUGAGAUGCUGUAAUUGGGCUUCUCUGGGUCUGCACAGCCUGUCUUCAAGUACCCCAAGUGUCUUUUCCAGUCUUCAAUUACUCCUCUGAUAGACUACAGGCAUCCUGCCUUUUAGUUUAUUAGGCAGCUUCUUAUCUCAAUUGUAGUCUUAAAAAACUCCAUCAUUUCAGUUGCACAGCUCUAAUAAUUAGUUUCUGCUUUUCUGGUCUGGAUAGUGCUACUUUAGCUUUUAUAAAGAAAAUGGGAGAAAGAGCUGUAUGGCAGAAACCAUUACCUCUGGUAGCGCUCAGCCAUGUAGAGUGAGCACUCCAGUCAUAUGCAUCAGAUUCUGAAUCCUGUAAAGCUGUGGUGAUGAGCAGACAAACAACAACAACAAAAAGGUGCUAACAGGGGAUGAAAAGAUGAAUGAGGUGAGAUAGAUUACCUUUUCACAAAAAAUGCUCAUUGUAUCUUUCCAUUGCCAAUCUGUAGCAAUUAUAUUUUCAUUGGGAAGAUGAGCUUGAUCUGGGUUUAGAGAUGCACGUAUGAAUCUUAAUCAUGUAGCAAUAUAUGUAGAACAGGCUGCCAAAGUACAAAUAUUCUGAUUUUCACCUGCAAUAAUACCUGAAGUUAGAAUAAGAUUCAGCACUUCUAAAUGUUAUUUAACCUCCGGAAGAAGGAAGCCUGAUUUGAAUGCAUUGAGAUGCUAUGAACUAGAGGUGUUUUAAUCAGGUAUUCCCACCAGUGGGAAUCCAUAACUGCAACAAAUAUUCCUCCAGACGAAUGAACACAAGGAUCACUUUUGGCCUUCAGCUGCCCCUACUCCUGACCAGCCACGUGACGCACUGCUGGGUCUUGCAGACAAGCCAUCUUCUGUGCCUAGAGAGAGUAUUGGGGUAUCUCCAUCCACUUCCAUCAUUUGUCAGGCUGCACCAAGCUCAUCGCCACCAGAGCUGGUCCAUCUUCUGACCAUUCACAGGCAAGCAAUUUGGAGCUCUUUUUUCUGGAGGCCAGCAAACAUGUGAUACCUCAUAUGAUGUGGAGCUCUAUGGGCACUACAGGAGCCUGACAAAAGGUUAAGUAAGACCCUUGCCGGGCAUUAUUUUAAUUACUCACAGGUACAGUGCAAGGUGGUGCCUGCCAAGGCUACUGCUCAUUUGGCUGUGCUUCAAUGUUGUUCAGGCAGGAGGAAGUUUUAAUAAAUUAUCAUCAAGCAGGGAACGUGGCUAUAAUACUGUGCCAUAGAAUGGAGAGUUUUACAGCUAUUUUCAGUCUUUCUGGGUCAUAUCUCAGCUUCCUUCCUUUGAACUCUUGUAAGGGAAUUCAGUCUAUGUACAACAUUAAGGGUUUUUUUUCCCCUUUGGCGGAGCCCUGAAUACCUUCAUUUUUCAAAUAGAGAGGCUGAUCCCAUAACUCAGAUGAGUUAGCUGCCUUAUGGGCAUGACACAUAAAGGCAGGAGAAACUGGCCUUUAUGUGCAGGGUCUGCGACCCAAAAAGCGUGACUCGCAUACUUAGUUUCCAUCCUCUUGACAAGUAGCCAGUUUCUGCAGUAAGAUGAAAUACAUCUCCUCUACACAUAGCUGCUACCAUUUUAAGGUUAAAUCUUGACAAACUCUGGAAGGCAGCAGGGAAAGUUCAGCUGUUAAAAAUGCAAUGGGGUUUUAUGGAAAGGCUUUCUGAGGAUGAUGAGCAUAUUGGCAGGAAAAACUAUCAGCGAUUUCAGUACAAGUUUUUUGGUGCCUGCAUUCCAGCUGUAAAAAAAUACACGUGCACCUGAAAGCUUUUUUCAGGACCAGAAAGCUAUACACAUAAAACUAGCUGAGAGUUACGUGGUUGCAACUGAAAGCAUUCAGGCACAAAAUGUUUCCUUUGACCAGUUCUUUGUGCAAAUGGCAGGGAUGGUGAGUGCUUGUGGAACUUGCUUGUUUGAGAGACUGUUGGUGAAAUACAGUACUAGAGAUGCCAUACCCUACGUUUUUUCCUACUUCAAAGCAGGGACAUUAGUGGAGAUGUGCAAACUGGAUCCUGUAUCUAACACGUUCAUGUGGUUGCAGUUUGUCCCUGGCACCCAGCAAGCAGAGCAGUGGCCACACUCCUUUACCUAUCUCUGGAUUUUA
ensembl:lncRNA